GAGAAGGGCCUUCUGGAUUGUAAACUUCUUUUAUCUGAGAAGAAACCACCGAUUUCUAGUGGUGUUGACGGUACCGGAUGAAUAAGGACCGGCUAACUCCGUGCCAGCAGCCGCGGUAAUACGGAGGGUGCAAGCGUUAUCCGGAUUUACUGGGUUUAAAGGGUGUGUAGGCGGGCUAUUAAGUCAGGGGUGAAAUCCCGGGGCUCAACCUCGGAACUGCCUUUGAUACUAUUAGUCUUGAAUUAUGUUGAGGUUGGCGGAAUAUAACAUGUAGCGGUGAAAUGCAUAGAUAUGUUAUAGAACACCGAUUGCGAAGGCAGCUGGCUAAACAUAUAUUGACGCUGAGGCACGAAAGCGUGGGUAGCGAACAGGAUUAGAUACCCUGGUAGUCCACGCCCUAAACGAUGAUUACUCGUCAUUUGCGAUAUACAGUAAGUGACCAAGCGAAAGCGUUAAGUAAUCCACCUGGGAAGUACGAUCCGCAAGGUUGAAACUCAAAG
rnacentral:rRNA from 1 species